UAAAACAUCACGGUAAAAUUGUUAUUGAACGCCUGCUAUAUAAUACGGCCGCGUGUAAAUAAUUAAACCUGAAUUCGACAAUCCAGUAUUUGAUAGUAUUAGUGACGAUCCACGCAGCCGGGGCACAAUUCAAACACGUCAGCGAGACGACACCUGAUCCGAAACGUGGCCACUUUUUUCCAUCAUAGGCGGCCGGGACCUAUUGUAUCCCAGAAAUGCCGCGGUGUUACUGUAUAAUUAUCAUAUAUUGUAACAUAAAAGUAGGUAUGUUCCCUGAUCUGAUUGGUUAAAAAGUGUUGUCGAAUGAGCAUAACAUCGCUGAAUUUUUGGGGUCUCAUCAUAGUGUAUGUAUACAUUAAUUAAUAGAACUAUUUUUGAAAUCAUCAACAUGGAGGAACAGAUGGAAAUUUACCCUGACUUCCACAUCGGAGAUUUCGAUGAAAUAUUGAGUGAAUGGGGCGACGUGACAUUUUCUGAGAUAAUUCAAGAAUUUGAAGCUGUUGAAGCUGGAAACCGUUCUGAGAUGGCCCCUGAACUAGGAAAUACAGCCAGCGUUUCCGUAGAGCCCAAAGUUCAAGCGUCCAGUCACCGCUUCGCGUCCCUUGAUGAAAAAGCAGUACAGGACAUCGUGGAUGGGAACCUCUCCAAAUCUACUGGGAGUUAAAAUAUUUCGACAAAGGCUUGGUUUCCGAGGUUUUGAACGCACGUUCGAAGAGCUUCCUGCUUUUCAACUGAAUGAGAGACUGAGAUUCUUUUAUGCCGAAGUCAGAAAUGCUGAGAGAGACCUUUACU